UUGCUGUUGACAUUGUACAGUUCAGUGGUAGUUAUGGACUUACACAGAAAAGGGGUGUUCAAGUUAGCAGUGAGUGACCUCAAAGCCCCGGAAGACUUCAAUGGUGAACAUGACAUUGAAGGUUUUUGGAACUCUGUUCACCUGGAAAUGAUAAGCCGUGGGUUUUUUCCAAGUGAGUGAUGGCAAAAACUUAUUGAAAGUCAUUCAGUGUUUUAAAGUAAUUUAGAUUGUAAUUAAAAACAUGCCAUUUUCUGUAGGCGGCGCGAAGAAUCCAUUUUCAGUUCCACUAAGUUACACGUCCUGGGCACCAUCGAUCGGGAAUGAAACUCGAACAAGUGACAUUGUGCUUAACACAGAGUUUCAAAAAGUAGGAAUAAGCUCUUCACAUGAAGCAAAGCUUAGCGGUGUCACAGAAGACCGUCUGUUGGAUGAACUCGCAAAACAAAAGGUUGGAGUGGUAAGAAAAUUGUGUAAAGCAUGCAACAUCGACUCCAAAGGCUCCCGCUUUGAUCUCAUCACCAGACUGAGGGAGAAGAUGAAGAGCAGGCAGACAUAUGAUAAGGUGUUUCAAAGCAUAUGGGGUGCCUCUGGAGGAUGGUCUGUAAUACUAUGUCCACAUGGCAUUGUAUACAGUGUUACAUUUAAUCUUCGUGCUGAAAGUCCCCGGUGUGCAAUAAACCCAGAGAAACCACAGAAACGGUGUUGAACCCAGCACCUUCAAUGUCUGGUGACACUGGUAAAAUGUCUUAUUUUGAAUAGUGAUUGUCAUAUACAGGUGAAAUAAUAAUCUUGCAUUCAUUAUCUUGUUGUAGUUGCGGGCUCGUAAACGAACUUAUCUGCUGUUUCAAAUGAAUUUCCUUCUGUAAACAGUGCUUAUUUUUCUUGCAUUUGUAUGCAUUUAAUAUGCGUUCUAUGCAGUGUUUUGUCUGAAACCUGUUAAAGUCCCUACAGAUCCUCAGGAAGGAGUUGACAACAAGAAAGCCAGUAGAAGGUCAACAGAUGCUACUUUUCCUGACCUGUGUGGACCUCCGUGCGAAGCUCUGACAAAGCCUGAGAACAUUUUGGCCAGCUAUUCAUCGUGGUGUUUUGUACCGCACCCUGGCCAAAAACAGCUUCUCAACUUUGUUCUGGACAUCAGCAGACCCAAAGAUGAGCUGAUUGUUGAAACGUCUUCUGGAUGCCUCACGCGGGCAGAUUUUUGGACACUGGGUUUAAACAAAGAAAUGGAAUUGACUAUUGCAAAUGGCUGUUUUGAGCUUAUCACUAAAAUUGUUCAGUCAAAGGGGAUAAGCAUUUACAUAGAAAAUCUGUACGUCACCCGGACUUGGCUUGCACCCUAUGGCUGUGAUCCAUUGCAGUCCUUUCCUACUGAUGAUCAGAGGAUGGACAUCAUAGUUCUCCCUCUCUGGACACCUGCUCAUUUCCAGUUGUGUGAAUCUUGCAGUGAAGCUCAUUCCCGGGCAGUGGUCAGAAAAAAAGAGCUUUGACUUGAAGGAGCUCUGGCAAGCUAUUUGCACACUGGAGAGAGGAAGCCAAAGCUGUGCUUGUAGGGCAACACGUGCCCAUUUUCAGACUGAAAAAGCGCAAGUUCCAGGAAGUCAGUCAGGAGCCAGCAGUUGUUGAAGAUCCUGCUGUGCAGUGGGUUGUCCAAAAUAAGGCACUUUUCCGUGGACACGUAACAAUGCCAAAAUAUCUGUCCUUAAAUCAAGGGGACCAGCAGAGGGUCUUAAGAGACAUGUCAGAGGAAGAAGACACUGGAGCAAGGGACAUGUUCCUCUUUGUUUUUCAGUUUGCAGAGGACAUGGAGCUCUUUUUGAAAGCAUGUGCUGAUGAGCAGGGACUAAGGGUCAGUGCUAUGUUUGACAUGUAAUGGACAAAUGAAGGCACUGACUGUGUUUGUUUGUUUGUUUAAUAUGUCGUUGUUGUUGUUUUUGUUUUGUUUUUGUAUAGUACAAAAUUCCAAUUAAACUUAUUUCAAAAUGUU